CGCCCCCGCGGCGCUGAAGGAGCGCGGGGCCGCCUGGCCCGCCGCGGGGCCGGACCGAGUGCGCAGCCUGCGGGCCGAAGGUGACUCGGGGCGGCGCGGGGAGGGCGGCGAAGCUCGGGAGGGCCGGUGCGGAGGAGGCGGGCCGCCGCGGAGCGCCUCUGCGGCCCCGAUCGGGCAGCGAUUGCCAAGGGUCCGGAGAGGCUUCCGGAAGGGCCGCUUGCGGAGGCCACCAGUAGGCGUGUCCCAUUUGUCCAAAUGGCAGGUGUGGUUCUUGCAGCCUGCUGGUCAUGUAGGCAGUACCUAUCUAGGUCUUAAUUUCAGAUGUGGACAUUAGGGCCACAGAAAAGAGACUUGUCCACUCUCGGUGCGUGCUUUGGAGUCAGGGGAAAGGAGAAAUUGGAGCCACUCAGGGAUUCAAGGGACCUCACUUUUAGGCGGGACUGUGGGCGACGCUUCGCGAAUUGGGGUCAGGCGUGAAGUACUAAUCAACCCGUGAAAAGUGCUUAAGCUGAUUUCGCCUCUGGCUGAACCAGACCGAAAGCUCAGGGCCUGGUGGGGUUGAUUUCCACCGGUUCAACGAGAAGAGGUGUGUAUGGAGUUAUCCCAGGCGCAAGGGAGCCAGAGCAAAACUAGCCCUCCUUUCUUCCUGGUCCUUGUUUGGGAUGCAGGCGGAGGCCAGGGUACCACGGCGUUCUCUCAGGCUCAGCAGUGACACCUCCUGGGGGUCUUUGCUCCCCAGGUGUUUCCUGGAAGGACUAGGGUUUUCCUGAAAGAUUCCUCUUGUCUGUGGCAGCCUGGUAUCCAGAGUCCCCAAUGAACCAACUUGGGGAACUCCAGCAUGAAACUGAGUGGUCUUAGAGGCUGGUGACUGCCCAAACCUGCACAAACCUUGGCUGCUCCGUGUUUGUCACUGUGAUGGACAGCUUUGAGAGGCCAGCUGCCUGACCCUGUUCCAAGUCUUCCCAUCACGUUCAGUGCUGUGAUGGACAAGCUUUAAGGAGGUCCGUUUUUCUCCUGAUAUCUGGGCUGGGUUUUCCCCUAUUAGCUGAGGCCCACCUCCUGUAUCUUGAAUAGCCUUCCUGGCAUCCUCCCUCACCAGCUCAGGGUAUGCCUGAACUUUGCUUUCCACCGAGGGUUGUCUUGGCUGGCAGGCCCCAAGAGAGGGGGCUCUGUGUCUUUGGGCUCAACUUUGGGUUCUGUGUUUUAGGGAUUUCUGAAUCUCUGGUUUGUAUCAAUAUCUGGUUACUUGUAUGUCUCCAUUGCAUGGAGCUUAGGAACUUCAGUCUUAGGCAUCCCAACAGACUGUUUCAGCCCCUAGAUUCCACACCUGCUCAGCCCCACCCCAGUGCCUAUGCCACAUCUACCCAUUGGCCAAGAGAAGACAUCUGGGUGGCAGUUGAAGGCUCUUCUCUCACCUCUAGGCUUUCUUGGAACUACCUCCUCGAUGUGCCUGGCAUGUUGGUGUGCACAGCUGAGUGAACCUUUCCUUGUCCCAUCCCGUGUCCCAUUCUGUUGGUACCCCCAAUGCUGGCACAUGCAGUGGCUGUUCUCCUGUUUGUCCACCAGUUAUUGAGUGCUUCCUGUAAGUCAGGCAUUGGCUGAGCUCUGAGGAUACAGCAGGGAAGCCAACAGUAAGCGGCAUGUCAGAAAUUAAAAUGUGUUGACAAUGAGGUGACCAUAGAAGACUGCUGAGGAAGACAUUAGACUUGAUCUGAGAUGCCAGAAGGAGCCAAUGAUCCUAAGAUUUGGUAGGAGAACUUUCCAGAUAGAAGCAAUAGCUUCCAUAAGGUGGGGUGAGGUUGACAGUAGGCAAGCCUAUUCUGUAACUAUCUCGGGUUUGACUUUAUCACCCAGCCACAUCUCCAACUCCAAUCCUUUUAAACUUUGUCCAUGCUCAUAGAUGUGUGUGUCCUGGUAGUUCACGGUGGUUUUAAUUUGUAGUUUUCUGAGUUUGAAGGGUGUUGAGCAUCUUUUCAUGUGCUUUAUUUGUAUGUGGUGCUGAGAAUCGAACCCAGCGCCUCACAAGUGUCAGGCAAGUGCUUUACCACUGAGCCACAGUCCCAGCUCCUUGGCUGUAUAUCUUAUUUCAUGAAGUGUCUGUUCAAAUCUUUUGCCUGGAAAAAUGACUUGUAGGCCCCUUGUGUGAAGGUACAUGCUUGUAAUCCCAGUGAUUUAGGAGGCUGAGGCAGUAGGAUCAAAAGUUUGAAGCCAGUCGCAGUGGUGCAUGCCUGUAAUCCCAGAAACUCGAGGAGGCUGAGGUAGGAGGAUGAGAGUUCGAAGCCAGCCUCAGCAGAUUAGCGAGGAACUCAGCAACUCAGCGAGACCCUGUCUCUAAAUAAAAUAUAUAAAAGGUCUGGGGAUGUGGCUCAGUAGUUAAGCGCCCCUGGGUAUCAAAAAAAGAAAAAAAAGUUUGAGGCCAGCCUGAGCAAUUUAGUGAGACCUUGUCUCAAAAUAAAAAAUAAAAAAGGGCUGGGAAUGUAGAACAUGCCUGGGUUCAAUCCCCAGUAUGAGGUAUGUAGGGGGAGAGACAAUUAGAAAAAUGAUUUGUCUUAAUAAUUUUUUUUGGUGAUACUACAGAUUGAACUCAGGUCCUUAUACAUGCUAGGCAAGCUCUCUGCCACUGAGCUGCAACCCCAGCCCAUUUAUUUUAAGACAGGAUCUUAGUAAGUUGCUCAGGCUGGCCUUGAGCCACUUGUGUUUGUGGGACUACAGGUGGCUAUUGGGCUACACUCUCAGUCCAGCUGGUUCCUAGUUUCCUUCCUUCUUUUCUUUUCCUUAUUAUUUUCUUUUACAGUACCGGGAAUUGAACCCAGAGACACUCUACCACUGAGCUGCAUCCCCAGCCCUUGUUUUUUAUUUUUAUUAUUUUUUUUUAAAGAGAGAGGGAGAGAGAGAGAAUUUUUUAAUAUUUAUUUUUCAGUUCUUGGCGGACACAACAUCUUUGUUUGUAUGUGGUGCUGAGGAUCGAACCUGGACCGCACGCAUGCCAGGCGAGCGUGCUACCGCUUGAGCCUCAUCCCCAGCCCUUUUAUUUUUAUUUAAAAAAAAUUUUUUGGUACUGGUGAUUGAACUCAAGGGUACUCAAACACUGAGCCGCAUCCCUAGCCCUAUUUUUUUUUUUUAAGAGAGAGAGAGAAAUUUUUUUAAUAUUUAUUUUUUAGUUUUCUGCGGAUGCAACAUCUUUGUUUGUAUGUGGUGUUGAGGAUCGAACCCGGGCCACACGCAUUCCAGGCGAGCGCGCUACUGCUUGAGCUACAUCCCCAGCCCCUAUUUUUUUUUUUUUAACACUUUAAAAAAAAUUUUUUUUUAUAGCUUUGUUUUAUUUUACUUAUGUGGUGCUGAGGAUCGAACCUAGGGCCCUGCAUGUGCGAGGCGAGCACUCUACCGCUGAGCCAUAACCCCAGCCCCCCCAGCCCUAUUUUGUAUUUUAUUUAGAGAUAGGGUCUCACUGAGUUGCUUUAGCACUUUGCUGUUGCUGAGGCUGGCUUUGAACUGGAGACCCUCCUGCCUCAGUCUCCCUAGCUACUGGGAUUAUAGGCAGCUGCCCCUGUGCCUGGCUGUCUUUACUCUUUUUUGAAGUACUUUUACUUGGGGUUUCUCUAUGUUGCCCAGGCUGGCCCUAAACUCCUGGGCUCAAAGUAUCCUCUUGCCUCAGCCUCCCAAGCUGCUAGGAUUACAGGCAUACACUACCACGCCUGGCCAGUGUCCCAACUUCUGCACCCCACUAAGAAUGUUGGGGUUCAGAGGAAUCUGCUUGUGUGCAUGUCUGUCUCUGUCUCUGUAUAUGUGCAUAUAUGUAUAUAUAUGUGUGUGUGUGUAUAUAUAUUUUAGUUGUUGAUGGACCUUUGUUUAUUGAUUUAUAUGUGGUGCUGAAAAUCAAACCCACUGCCUCACUCAUGCUAGGCAAGUGCUCUACCACUGAGCCACAACCCCAGCCUGGAAUCUGCUCUUUUACACAUCACAGGUCCCCUUUGUCAUGUUCCUGAUUUUUUAAAACUUUGUCAUCCUACGUAUUGUGUCCCUCUAUGAUUUCUCUUCCCAGUGACCUUGGGGGAUAUCUGUGCUCUGCCAGCCCCCACCUUUCUUCCAUCCAGUUUAUAGGAAUUUGCUGAGUAAUUGUGAACUGUCUCCCCUGGGAUGUCCCCUUGUUGUUUCCUUGUUUGGAUGGGGUCUCAGACAAUGUGGGCAUUGUUGGUCAUCUAGACUCCACAGGUCUCCUGUUCUAAGUCUGGGAUAUUCAAAUACCUCUUGUGUCCACAGCUCCCAGGCCUGAACCAUAAGCAGCAGCCCUGCUGCCAGAUAGAUGUCUUGACUGCUGUCCUAUCUUGACUAGGCUCAUUCUCUGAGGGGGAGUAGGUUUUGAGCCAGAGCAAACCCAGGGUUAUAACGCUGUCCCCUUCAAAGCUCACUUUUGUGAUUUUGGUUUUCUCACUGUUGUACUUGGCAGACCUUAGUUUCCAGAUCUAUAUAGUGCGGGUCCCAUGGGGCAUUAGAGCCCCAAGGCUAAAUGAGGCUGCUCAGUGGAGUGGUGCCCGUGGCCCUGGCUUCUACUAAAUUUGUUUUGCCGGGGCUGCUGGAAGUCUUCCCUGUCUUGUUGUCUUUCUGGGAAUCUUGGCUUUUAUCUUCAGUGCUCAUUGAGUCUCUUUUUAAAUGCAGACGUCUCUGGCUGCCUAUCUGCUUUCAUUUGGGCACGUCUGCUGACACUUUUCUGUGAGUUUAUUAGAUGUGUUUUGGAGUCAUGUGGCAAAAGGAAAGGGAAAUGAGAAGGGAGAUUUAGAGCCUGCCCUGACUUCUGGGGAGAUCCACCCCCCCCAGAUUCUCCAUUGCUGACAGAUGCUGCUGCUAGAGCUCACAAUUAGUCUGGUCAGACCCCCAUGUGUUUCACGCAUAGCUCUACCCCCAGGCCGGAGUGGGCUAGGAGAAUGGCGUGCAUAGAUGUAUGGAUGGCGUGGGUCCUCCUUCCUCACAGGGUGGUCAGCAGACAGUUGUUACUGAGCUAAAUAACAUUUCAUUUUGUAGAGCAAAAAUAGUGGAAGCCCAGUGUGGUGGCUUAGCGUGUAAUCCCAGCUACUUAGAAGGCUGACAGAGAAUCACAAGUUCAAGGCCAGCCUGGGCAACUCCGCAAGACUCUUUCUCAGAAUGGGGGGUGGGGAGAAGUGCUGGGGGUGUAACUCAGUGGUAGAGCACCUCUGGGUUCAGUCCCCAGUCCUGCCAAAAUAGUGGAAGGUUUCUAUUUCAUACUGUUCUGCUAAGUGUCAUGCCAAGAGUACAUGAGAAGCAUCGGGAAAGGAGGGGAGGCUUUCUGUGGUGUUGGUGGUACAGAGGGGGUGGAACCUGGGGCCUUGAACACUUGGGAUCUUCCUGCCUCCACCUCCUCAGUAGCUGGCAUGGGCCUCCUCACCUGGCUGCCUCCUUUUGAUCUGUGUGUGUUAAUUAUUUAGGGAGGUGAAUAGCAAUCUUAUCUCAGGACUUGUGCCCUCUCUCCUUGGGCACAAGGAGCCCUUUGCUGCUAUGCUGACCUGAGUGACCUGAGUGACUUUGUCACUCUCUUUGUGUUUUUGCCCAAUUGAUCAUCUGUCUUUUUUUUAUUAUUUAUUUUUUGGUUAGACACAAUACCUUUAUUUUGUUUAUUUUUAUUAAUUUUUAUGUGGUGUUGAGGAUCGAACCCAGGGCCUCGCGCAUGCUAGGCGAGCACUCUACUGCUGAGCCACAGCCCCAGCCUUGAUCAUCUGUCUUUUGACCUUGUAGGAUUUUUUUGUUUUGCUUUUAUAAUAUAAACUUUGAAAAUUUAAUUGGAUUUGUAAGUUUCUGGGUUUUGUGGCAAGCUUAGGAAGGUUUCCCACUGUGCUGGGACCACAGAACGUUUUCCUUUUUGUCCUUCUUGUACUCCUGUGGCUUUGCUUCUCUCAACGUCAUGUGUGUGCUCUCUGGAGUUCAUUUUGGUGUGAGAAGUGAGGAGGGCCCUGCUGUUUCCCAGUAAGUAAGUGCUUCUUACUGUGGCACUUCAUACCUAGAGUCCUUCCCUGUGCGGCCCAGUGGACCUCUGGUGGCUCUGUGGGCUCUGAGGGGCUCUCCCUGCUGCCCUGAGGACCACCUAGGCUCUGUGCACUCCUUUCUAGAUGCAAGUCCUCCUACUCGGGACCAUUCCAUCUGCACUUCCUGGCCUUUUCUCACUGUGGCUGCCCAUUGCUCCCCAGUCUUGCCUUUUAUCAUCUCCCUGGACUGUCCUCAUGUCCAUUCCUUGCCCCAUACCUUUCCUCUUCAUCCUCUGGCAUAAUCUGAUCAUGUCAUGCAUUCAUCUGAGCGCCUUCUUGGUUCCCACAGCUGGUGGACAGAAUGCUGUACUGUCCACGCAGCCACCGAGCGGCCUUGGUUCCCCUGCAUCCAUACCCUUUGCGUAGCACACAGCACAUGUUCUUUCUCCUCCUGGCCCUGACCUUGUCCCUGUGCAGUGGCUCUGUAGCUCUGCUUCCCGAGGGUGGUCUUCACGUGGUCCAAGUGCAGCAGUAGAGAAGUCCUUUCUUCCAUGCUCUGUCCCCACUCAUUCAUUUCUUGUUUUACUUUUUCAUGUUUCUUAUGCAUAGAUAAGUGUACAGGCUGGGGUGAUGGCUUAGUGGCAGAGCGCUUGCCUAGCACUGGGUGUGAGGCCCUGGGUUUGAUCCUCAGCACCACAUAAAAAGAAAUAAAUAAAAUAACGGUAUUGUAUCCAUCUACAACUAAAAAAAAAAAAUAGAUAAGUGUACUUGUGUGUGUGUGUGUGUGUGUGUGUGUGGUGUGGUGCUGUACCACUAAGCUACAUCCUCAACAUUCUUUUCGUGUGUGUGUGGGGGGUAACAGAGGGUUGAACUCAAGAGCAAUUGACCACUGAGCCACAUCCCCAGCCCUAUUUUAUAUUUUAUUUAGAUUAGAGACAGGAUCUCACCGAGUUUCUUAGUGCCUCGCUUUUGCUGAGGCUGGCUUUGAACUCACAAUCCUCCUGCCUCAGCCUCCUGAGCUGCUGGAAUUAUAGGCAUGCACCACCUUGCCUGACGCCAGCACUCUUUUUUUUUUUUUUUUUAAUAUUUUAAAUUUGUAGAUGUACACGAUACCUUUAUUUUAUUUAUUUAUUUUUACAUGGUGUUGAAGAUCGAACCUAGUGCCCUCACAUGUGCUAGGCAAGCACUCUACCACUGAGCCACAACCUAGCCCUCGAUGCCAGUACUCUUUAUUCUUAUUUUGAGAUAGGAUCUUGCUAAGUUUAAUGAGGCUGGCUUUGAACUUGCUGUCUUUCUGCCUCAGCCCUGAGUUGCUGGGAUUAGUGGUGUGUUUCACCAUGCCUGGCUUCCAAUAAGAGUUUAUUUAAUUAAUCCCCUUUGAUAGACAUUUAGUUGCUUUUCUGUGUUUUAUGUCAUAAAUUCUGCUGCAUUGAGUGGCCGGAUGGCACUUCAGGUACUUCACAAUGAACACAAGGAAUACCCCAGUGAUGAGCCCUGGGGAUGGCCUGCACUGCCUCCUACAUCCACAGUGAUCAGAGUGACCAUUUGUCCUUCACUGCGUGGGGCUGCCCAUGGCCUCAGGGUACAGGCCUUUGAGCGUAGAGCUGCCUCCUAUGGGUCCUCCUCCCCAGUGGCUAAGCAGGCUUCAUGUGGUUCGCUGAGACCCCCAGGCACAGUUCUCGUGGCAUUCUGCCGGCCCCUGCACCUGGUGCCCACAUGUUGCAGCCCCUCUCCCAAGGCACUGCAUUCUGCCUCUUGUUGACAGAUGCACGCUAUAGACAUUGUUCUACAGAAUGGCUCCAUGUCAUUGACUGUUUUUUUCGUACUGGGGAUUGAAUCUAGGGGUGCUCUACCAGUGAAUUACAUCCCAGCCCUUUUUAUUUUUUAUUUUGAGACAGGGUCUCGCUAAGUUGCUGAGGCUGGCCUUGAGGUUAUGAUCUUCCUAUCUCAACCUCUUGAGUCGCUGGGAUUACAGGUGUGCUCUACUGUGCCUAGCCAUGAUUUACUUUUCCCAGAAUGAUGGGCGUCUAGGGAGUCUCCCAUUUUUUGCCAUGAUAGAUAUUGGUACAAACAAUAUGAACUCUUCUGGUUGUGAGUUACGGGAACCAGUUGCAACAAGCACAAGCAUCACAGAAAUGUAAAGUCCCCCAGAAUUGGACUGAAGGAGGCAGGCCAGGAUGCCAGGCUAGCCAUGUUGCUUCCUGGGACUCCUGUACUGGCUACCCAGUGCUCUCUGCUGCCCACUGUGUGUAUGCUUUCCCCCAUGGUAUACAGCCACAGCAGGAGGAUCUCUUCCUGCCUCCCUGACACUAUCCUGCCCCUCUGCCUGAUUCGCUUUCGGGCUUCAGAGGGUGCUCCCAGAAGGGCUGUCAGAGGGGACAUUUCAGGCCUGGGGAUGCACUAGCACCCUUGAGGUGCACCUGUAUGCACCCUGAGAACAGGAGCCUGUAACAAGUGCCCCAGGCUCUUCCCCUUCUUGGCAUUUCUCUGUAGCUCCUAGUGUCUUCUUUCCUUCUGUGAACAGAGUGCACCUCCACCUGCCUCGUCCCUGUCUCUGGACAAAUAAGGUGACUUGUGCUUCAUAGCCAUCAGACUCUGGGCUCUCACUGUACAGUGGGGGUCUUGAGGUGGGUGUGUGAGACACUGUGGUGGAGCAGUUAACAGGGCAGCUCUGGGUUAGGCGUGGGGAUGAUGGCGAGGACCUGCUGGAGGAAGGCUGUGGCUGGGGGCAGGGUGGGGUGGUGCUGAGGGUAUCAGGCCAGGGAAGUCAGGUCAUCCUAGAACCGUUGGAGCCUGGGCUGGAUCUGGGUGCUGCCUUGAUGCUGCCCCAUGGUGCUCUCUGCAGUCUAGGGGUGGCUCAGUGGUGGGAGGCUGAGAGGUGGGGAUGCGGCCAAUAUCCAUCUGGGAGGCUACUCCCCACGGGGUUCCACUCUUCUGUGCAGCUUGCCUGGGCUUGGAGCUGAGAACUAGAAUAAGUCAACCAGAUUAUCUGUUUGACAUUCCAGGGAGGCUUGGAGACGAUUUGUGGUGUGGUGGCCAUUUGUUGGGCUUGCCCACUUUGAGGUUGGCUUCUGGAGGACGGAUAGGCAGGCAGCAUCUGGGGAACGAGGGCACUGGAGUUUAUAGCUUUACUGGGUGGAGGUGGGUGCUGGACACCCCUGAAAGGCGACUGUCUGGGGUGGGUGCCUUCACGGUGGGCCUGGGCCUCCUUGGGCUCUCUGGGCACGUCCUUUCAGAGGAAGGAGUCAAGCAGGGUAGGGACUGACCCUAGCUCAGGUGGAGACUGUGCUCAGUCAGCCUCCAGCAGAGAGCUCAGCAAGGUGGGUGCAUCCAGGGGUGGGGACUGUUUUGGGGAGCCAUAUGGGGAAAGACAGAGCAUCCCAUGCUCACUCUUUUCAUAGCAGCCAGAGGGUUCAUGCUGCAUCCUGAGGGGGCCUCAGAAUGAGAACAUUAAAAGUCAGCUGUGUUCCAUUUGAAAAAUGGUUGUUGCCAGCAUGGUGGCCACACCUGUGAUCCCAGCUGCUCAGGAGGCUGAGCACAAGGAUUUCAAGUUCCAGGUCAGUCUGGGCAAUUUAGCAAGUCGUAUUUAAAAAAAAAAAAAAAUAUAUAUAUAUAUAUAUAUAUAUAUAUAUACACACACACACACACACACAUACAUAUACACACAAAUAAAUGUGUAAAUAUUUAUUUACUUAUUUAUUUAAAGGAUUGGGGUACAGCUCAGUGUUAGAGAGCCCCUGGGUUCAGUCCCUAGUCCAAUACACACACACACAAGAGAAAGUGGUUGCUGUCCUCAGAUUAUUUUUCUUCUGUAGGACAAAAGCAUCAGACAUCUUUAUAUCAGCCAGGCUUGGUGGCACAUGCCUGUAAUCCCAGCAGCUUGGUAGGCUGAGGCAGGAGAAUUGCAAUUUCAAAGCCAGCCUCAGCAACUUAGUGAAGCCCUAAGUAAUUUAGCAAGAUUUUGUCUCAAAAUAAAACAUGAAAAGGGCUGGGGAUGUGGCUCAGUGGUUAAGCACCCCUGGGUUCAAUUUUGCCAGUGCAAAAAAAUAUAUAUAUAUCUUUCUACCCAGUGAUGGGGUGGGUGUGGCUAUUUGAUCAGGUGGUCUUGGAUCAUUUUCUUUACCUUCAUUGGACAGAGAUGGGGCAGGCAGGGCAGUGGGCCUCCCUCUUUGCUGUGACCUCUUGGGGCAGACUGGGGCCACUUCCCUGACAGAAUCCUGAUGACAGAGAGAUGCAGGUCCCACCUUGUCAGCCCUGUUGGGGAGGAGGAUAUCUACCAUGGGUGGCAGCAGGGAGGACUCUGUCACAUGGCAGGGUCUGGAAUCCUUGUCCUUAUGCUGGAGGAGCUAGCAGGGUACCUGCAGAACCCAGCGUGGUUGUCUUGAGUAGGGAUGAUGGACCUGAGAGGGUGACAGCAGGACUGGGGAGUCUGGGCAGGGUGUUGGGCUGGUUUACGUCAGCCCUGGCCCUAGCAGUCUGCAGUGGUGGCCAACUUUGGAGCAGGCUGCUCACAGCAGAGUUCUGUUGGGAAACCUCUUGACCUACGGAGAGCACACCAGUCCAGGGCUAAGGGCCCUACUGGUUCUGCCCCUAGGAAACUCAGACCAAGCUCACAGGGGCUAACUCUACCAGGUCAGACCUGUCAGAAGGGACCUGGCCAGCCUAGCGGCAUCUGGCGUCGCAGUCCCCUUCAAGGCAAAAGGGGUGUUUGUUGAGACCCUUGGCUAGGGGGAAAUGGGGUUAGUGUCUAGGUUGCCGAGAGGCCUGGCUGUGUGGAGAAUAGGAUUCUGGGCAGUGUGUGACUGUUCCUUCUGAGGAACAGAGCAGUGGGUGACCAUGGCUUGCGAGGAAAGGGGCCAAGAUGGGCACUCCAGCAAGGUUGUACCUCUCAGCUUACAGCCUAAGCUGUUUGCCUGUUGGUCCCUGUAGACCUCCAGCCAGGUCGGUCACCUGUGCCUGUAACCAUACAGCCCAGGUUCCCAGGGUGGUUGGAGUGUUGGCUGGCCCGGUCAGGGAGCCUGGCAAGGAGCAGGAGCAUUUGGUAGAGUGAGGGGCUGGGGAGCUCAUCACUGGCCAAGAUCAAGGAGGCAGGGCGUGAAGCAGGGACUCAGGGCAGACUUUGCCCACACAGCACACAGGGAUGGCUGCCUGUGGGCAGUGCUCCUGACUCUGCUCCCAGCGGUGUGCCUGGGCAUCCUGCAGAGGGUGGGUAGGGAGCCUGAGGUGCCCUUCAUCCUGCCUUUCCUAAGUGUGAGAGCUGAGCAGCCCCCCAAGGAUCAUUGCCCUGCACUGUGUUCCACAGGUAGAAGGUGGGCCCCACACAAGGCAGGACCCCAGGGUGGCCGGGAGUGGUCUCACCAGAGCCUCUCUGCCCCACCCUCUGAGCUGGCCUUGAUGUGCUUCCUUAUUUGCUCUUCAGGUGUAUGUGGCUGCCAAAAGGGGAGGCUCCCCUGAAGACACACUGACAGGCGCCUUGUGUCCUCUGUACCCUGGCUGCCUAGGGCUGACCUUAUGUGGCCCACCUCAUUGGUCCUGCUGUGCCGACUGGAGCACCAUCAGGAGGGUGCAGGCAGGGCCAGGCCAUGACUGCUCCUUGACCCCAGCCAGGCUCCUGAGGCCUAGAAAGAGCAGAAGCUCCAAGGGGCUCUCAGGGCCCACUGUGGAUUGGCCCUGCCCUCCCUCUCCCUUGGCAAGGUACCAGGAAGCUAGAGCUUUGUUAUCUGGGUAAUUAGCUUCAGACCCUGGACUGAGUCCAGCCAGGUCUUAGGGCUACGUCCCACAAUAGGUGUACCCUGAUCUCAAAAGGGAAGUGAGGUGCUGCCUGUCUAGAGACCCUGCUAUCUGAGCAACCAAGGGGCCAGGCCUGCGUGGGACCAGCUGUGGUAUCCUUACACGCCCUUCCUUCUUGGGCUGUGCCCCUCAGGGCUGCCUGGGCCUGAUCACAGCCUCGCCAGGGGCCAAGGGCACAAGCCUCAGGAAGGGAAUGCCCUCAGAGGUGUCAGUCCAGCCAGCUGCUCUGCCACUCAAGCCUGGUCUGACCCCCAUCCCCUGCACUGUGGUACCCCAAGCAGCCCUGUGGGUAGACACCCCCGACCAUGGCUGAGCACCUGGAACUACUGGCAGAGAUGCCCAUGGUGGGCAAGAUGAGCACCCAGGAGCGGCUGAAGCAUGCCCAGAAGCGGCGUGCCCAGCAGGUGAAGAUCUGGGCCCAGGCUGAGAAGGAGGCCCAGGCCAAAAAAGGCAAGUGGAGGCAGCUGCAGAAGGAGGCAGCUGGCCGAGGGCCCCCGAAGCAAGUUGUCUUCCCUCCCAGCGUUGUCCUUCUGGAAGCUGCUGCCCGAAAUGACCUGGAAGAAGGUGAGUGCACUUGUCCCAGGGUGGUACACAAUGGCACUCCCAUCCAUGUGGGCGUGGCCUCAUCGUGUGUUGGGCUCUGGGCUGGGCCUGUGCCCGUCCAGCACUCUUGGGCUUUAGCCACAGGGCAACCAGGGUCUCUGGUUAGGACAACCCCCACUGAGACAGCUCUUCUUCAGCAGAGGCCUCAUGCAAAAGGUCCUGCUGUGAGGCAGGCCAGUUGAGAGAGUACCAGGCUGCAGGGGGCGCCCAUCAGGGCCUGCAGAAGCAUCCAGUGUGUGGGGCUGAGCAGGCUGACAACUCUCACCGCCUCUUGUAAGGAUGCUAGGCUGUGGGUGAGCGCCCUGGCCUCUGCCAGCUGUUCCCUGAGUCCCACCUCUGCAGAGGAGGGUGCUCAUACUUACCUCCAGUUGCAAGAGUCGGGCAAGCUGACCCGGAGCCCACACGGCUGACCCUCUCGCCGCUGCCGUCAGUGUUCCCUUUGACUCCUUCCUUACCAUUGGAGCCUUCCCAGCCUGAUGCCAGCCUGACCUUUCUGCAAGCCCCUCUUCCUCUCCAUGCCUCGUAUUUGUGACCCUCUGAGUACAAGGCUCUGGAGUCUGGGGAGGAGACCUCUUGAUUUUUCUUAAGGGCUCUUCCUGUGUCUUUUGGGGGCAGAGGUGAGGAGGAGUGGGCAGUGACAGUGCAGGAGCCCUCCUGAGACCUGGAGGCUGAGAGGGGACCUGUGGAGAAGGGUGCCAUGUGUGCCACAGGCCUGACCACAAGGAGCCGUGUCUUACUGCUGCAUGGCCAGAGAGGACCCCAGGGACCUUGGCGAUAGCGUGGUCUGAGAUAGGAUUUCUGAAGGGGAGCAAGGGCAGGGACAGGCACUGGUUGAGGGGCUGGGCUCAACAUCAGGAAGAUCAGAGGAGUGUAAGCCCCUACGCUGGGAGCUGAGGGUGGAAUCACCGGCAAGCGGUCUCACAGGAGGGCCGGUUCUGCGGUCUUAGGGGUUGGGUGUCAUGAUAGGAGAGGGGCUGGUGCUGCUGUGUGUGCGGCCUAUUUGGGGCAGACAGACACCCCAGGCUCCUUGAGUCUGCAUGCUUCCUGCCAUCUACACCAGUCUUCUUCUCCCUUCCCUGAUCCCUGGGCAUCAGCAUCAUGGGCCCAGGUGGCCUUGGGCCAGGGAUGGCGUAGGCCAGUCAAGGCCUCACCCAGACGUCACCACCCCCUUCUUACAGUCCGCCAGCUCCUCAGGAGUGGAGUCAGCCCCGACCUGGCCAAUGAGGAUGGGCUGACAGCACUGCACCAGGUCAGCCUGUGUGCGGGGUGGGCAGGGCAGGGGCUGGCAGGGCUCAGGCCACUCAGGCUGUGUGUUUGCAGUGCUGCAUUGAUGAUUUCCGAGAGAUGGUGCAACAGCUCCUGGAGGCUGGGGCUGACGUCAAUGCCCGUGACAGCGAGUGCUGGACCCCCCUGCAUGCUGCAGCCACCUGUGGCCACCUGCACCUGGUGGAGCUUCUCAUUGCCCGGUAGUGUCCAUUGGGCCUUUAUCAUGGAGGGGCUUUCUCACAGAUGGCAGCUCAUGUGGCUAUUCUGUGAAGCUGGUCAGGUCCUGGCUUCCUGUGUCCUCACCUCUGUCCAUCCUGCUUGAGACCCCUGGGGGAUAGUUUGGGCCCACCUGGUAGGCUGGACCACCAGCUCUGGAUGGAGGGCCUUCUCAUGGUCUCCCCUGAGAAAUGCCAUUCUGGUUAGGGUUGAGGGUAGAACGAAUAAGGGGGUAAGGGGAGCAGAGAGGCCAGGUGGGUCUCGGAGGGUGUGCGUGGGUAUCGGUGAGGACUUUUCUCCAACAGGAAGGAAGGUGGAGUGGGGAGUGGUGGUAAGCCCUGUAACUCCAGCUACUUGGGAGGCUGCGACAGGAGGAUCUCAAGUUCAAGGCCAGCCUGGGCAACUUAGAUCUUAUCUCAAAGAUUAAAAAAAAAUGUUUUGGUGGUAUUGGGGAUUAAACUCAGGAUCUCAGGCUAGGCAGCCAUUCUACCACUAAGCUAUAUCCCCAGCCCUUUAAAGUAAAAAAAGAAAAAAUAAAAAAGUAACAAUUAAUGAAAGGACUGAGGAUGUAGCUCAGCUUUUGCCAAGGGUGGACGUGGCUUUGGGUUCAAUCCCUAGUUACACACACACACACACACAUAAAUAAAUAAAUAAAUAGGACUGGGGAUUUUACUUAGUGUUAAAGCACAUCUGGGCUCAGUCCCCAGUACUGGGGGAUGGGAGGAGGAUGGAGCAGAGGAGGUUAGUGGCUUCCUCAGGUUCAGGAGCCUGUCCUUCCUCCCCCCAUCCUGGGCCUCUCCAGUAGAUCAGAGAUCCUCGUGUGGGUGACUGGCUGUUGCCAUCACACAUAAGUGCCUCCUCUGAGUAGAGCAGUAGCCAUGCAGCAAACAGGCCCCCAGGCUCCCCUUGGAGCUGGUGACAGGCUGCAGGUGGGUUCCAAACCUUAGGCAGCCCCUCUGUGUCCUUUGCUCCCCCCAGCUCCCCUUCCCCCAGGCCUGCUUCCCCUGAUCUGUGGGCUCAAAAUCAGCAACUGCUUGGCUUUCUUGCUUCACUUCUCCCUGGGGUCCCCAGAGUGCUGCGUACCUCCUGCAGGUGUACCCUGUAUUUAUGGGGGACAGACGGGUGCCUUGGGCCUUGAAGCCCAGAUGGGUAGACUGCAGGAUGGCCUGUCUGCCUGAGGAACAAGAUCCAGAGCUGAGGGCCUUCCAGAUGAGCCCAGAGGCUUCCUCUCCCAACAGCAGCUAGAACCUACGAGUCCUCCCCAUGUCUGCUGGCACUUCCUGAAGGCAGUCCGAGGCUCAGGGAGGACUUGCUGAAAGGGGACUGAGCAGCCGGCAGCUCUCAUCCGUCCUCCCUGCAGGGGUGCUGAUCUCCUGGCAGUCAACACUGAUGGGAACAUGCCUUAUGACCUGUGUGAGGAUGAGCAGACACUGGACUGCCUGGAGACUGCCAUGGCCCACAGGGGUGAGUGUGCUGUGCCUGCCUGCUCGGGUGGGCCUGGGCAUUCCGUCUCUGAGCCUGCUGCUCCACAGGCAUCACCCAGGACAGCAUUGAGGAGGCCCGGGCCGUGCCAGAGCUGCUCAUGCUGAAGGACCUCCAGAGCCUUCUGCAUGUUGGGGCUGACCUCAAUGACCCGCUGGACCAUGGAGCCACACUGGUGAGGACUUGGCCACGUGGAGGGGGUCUGUUCAGGGGCUGGGGGCUUGUUGGGUGGGUGUGGGACUGGGAUUCAGGGCGGGGUGGCCUGCCUGCAGCUGCACAUGGCCGCCGCCAGUGGGUUCAGUGAGGCAGCUGCCCUGCUGCUGGAGCAUGGAGCCAGCCUGACUGCCAAGGACCUCGACGGCUGGGAGCCGCUGCACGCUGCCGCCUACUGGGGACAGGUGAGUGUGGUCAGGAGCAGAUGCUGAGCGGGCUCUUGGCUGCGGCUCAAGCCCUCAGCAGCCCCCACUGGCUGGCCUGCAGGUGCACCUGGUGGAGCUGCUUGUGGCAAACGGGGCCGACCUGAAUGGGAGAUCCCUGACGGAUGAGACACCCCUUGGUGAGCUCCAGGGCUGCCUCCACCUGGGGGAAGGGACAGGCAGGGAGGGCCCCUGUGACGCUUGUGGUCAUCUCUCAGAUGUCUGUGGUGAUGAGGAGGUGCGGGCCAGGCUGCUGCAGCUGAAGCAGAAGCAGGAGGCACUCUUGCGAGCCCAGGGCCGCCAGCGCUCCCUGCUGCGCCGCCGCGCCUCCAGUGCAGGCAGCCGCGGGUGAGCUGCCCCACAGUCCAUGCCCAGCCCCCACCCCGGCUGUGCCUCAGGAUGGAUGGGAUGUCAGCCUGCAGGUGGAGCUGCCAGCACAACUAGGCCGGGUCUGAGGGACAGCUGGUGUCCCCUCUCACCUCCACCACACCCCGGCCUUCCAGGAAAGUGGUGAGGCGAGUGAGCCUGACCCAGCGCACCGACCUGUACCGCCAGGAGCAUGCCCAGGAGGCCAUCGUGUGGCAGCAGCCACCACCCCCAAGUCCAGAGCCGCUGGAGGAGGAUGAGGACCACCAGACAGACGCAGAGCUCUGGCUGCCACCCCCAGAGGUGAGAGUCCUGGCCUUGUGCUACCCACCUUCCACGUGGCUUUGGCAUGGGUCCUAGGCUGUGACCUGGCAUCAGUAUGUGAGUUUCCCAUUCACACUGGUCCAGUGUGGAGCUGGGAGGACCAGUGACCUUGUGCCCCUAGGUGGGCCAUGCUCCUCAGGGCUGGGCUGUUGUCCCCCUGCCCCUCACGGUUGUUCUUCUACAACCAGGUAGCCUAGAUCCUGAGGCCAGGGCAAGUAAGAGGAGCUGCCUCCUGACAGCCUUGGGCCCUGAUUCUGCCCACAGGAAGAUGACCCUGAGGUGGCCAGGUCCCACAAUGGCCGAGUAGGGGGCCCCCCAGGGCGGCACCUAUACUCCAAGCGGCUGGACCGGAGUGUGUCGUACCAGCUGAGCCCUGUGGAGAGUACCACCCCAGACACCCUUGUCCGGGACAAGGCCCACCACACCUUGGCCGAACUCAAACGCCAGCGGGCUGCUGCCAAGCUCCUGCGACCACAGCCUGAGGGGCCUGAGGCCCCUGAAUCUGGCUUGUCUGCUGACCCCGUGUCCUCCCAGCCGGACUGCGGCUUCAGGGCAGGCGGGGACCCACCCCUGCUCAAGCUCACAGCCCCAUCUGAGGAGGCCCCGAUGGAGAAGAGGCCAUGCUGCUUGCUCAUGUGAGGGGCUGUACCCAUUUCCAGGCCAGCCCGAGGCUUGCCCUGGAGGCCCACUCAGGGUGUGCCCUGGAACUGCAGGUGGGCAGACACCAGAGUCUUCCCCAGCUUCUACCCCUCAGGACAGUGGACUCUCUGUUGGGGAUGGACUUUAGGCAGAGCCGUAUCUGCAGGCAUCUGCUGCAGAGUGUUUGUCCUGUGACGCUUGAUAAAGGGGUGUUUGUCGUCAAGCCUUCCAGUGUCUCCGCUGGGGAGGGGCAGGCGGUGCUGCUGGACAGGUGCCGCCCAUGCCCUCGAGCAAGCACUCAGGCCUGUAGGUGCGUGCUGGGGCUCGCAAGUAGAGGCCUGGCCCCUGUGUGGGAGGGAGGCCCAAGGGCCACUGGGCAAGAAGCCUGGCCUUCCCCACACCCUCCCUGCCAUAUUCGACUUCCUGGAAGCACUGUUAACUCUUUGUUUUCCUGAGGGCAGUAGGGUACUUCAGAAGGAAGCUCUUUUCGGGCCAGAGCUGAGGGGGACCAUACCAAGGGGCAGGAGUCCUGACCUGCCAAGGGAGGGCGUAUUUUUUCCAGGAUUCCUGGGCCAGAGCCAGUAGAGCAAAUCUGGCACGGCCGGCAUCAGGCACUUCCCAGGGGCAGUGGUUCCCCAAUUCGUGGCCUGUUGCCCUGAUCCUGGGCCCUGGCUGACAACUUGUGCCUGGGCUGGUGUAGGUGACAAGCACUUGGCCACUCAGGCGCCGAGCUGGCUGGGUACAAUGUGUAAGGAUGAAGGGGCCCUUAGGGGACUCAAGCUGGAGGGCUGAGGGCACUGCCAGAUCAUCUCUCUGUCCACAGUAGGCAGCCCUGCAUGGCCACCCGCACUGGGUGGUAUGAGUUUAGGCUACCCUCCUCUCCUUGCUGGGUACUGACCUGGUCUGCUCAGUGUCCAGGGCCCGCCUGCCCUUCUAGCAUCUGUGGUUGGAGGGUUGCUGCCCUUAGCAGGUCUGGGGGAGGGCCAGGGGCUAGCUGCUGGUUAAAUUUAGUGAGUGGGGCGGUACCUCUGCCUAAGGUCCACCUACCACCACAGCUGCCACUUGGGCCCUGAUGCCAGAAGUCAGGCAGUGGCUGGCUCUGACUGGGGCCGGGCUCAUAUUAACCUGUCCUCUGAUGUGAGGGCCAAAGGACAGGCCUGUGAAUUGGGAGGCCAUUGUGGCAGCAGAACUGAGAGGUGCAAGUUGAGAGAGGUAUGUGUGUGUGUGUCUGUGUGCAUGUGUGCGCGCGCGUGCAUUCCCCACUUAGAACUCCUGGUGGCUUCUCUCCCAAUCUGCAGAAACAGAGGAGCCAAGGCUCCCCUUCCGUCUAACCAGCUGCUACUGCCCAGCUCAGAGGGCUGGCUUCCCGACUGUCAGUUCACCCUUGGAUCUGGCUGGCCUGGCAGCCUGCAGAGGCAAACCCUGGGAAUGGCCUGUGAGCCUGUGGAGGUGGGGUUCUGGGGGCCUAUUGCAGUUUACUUCCUGCUCUCUCCACCAAUCAGGAAGGAGGGAAGGUGACAGGCUACCCACCCCCAUGGCUGGGGUGUGGCCCCAAGGGCAACCCCAGGCUCCUGUGUGUUGAAAGGGUAUGAGGGCCACCUGGGGCAAGGGGUUCGCCUGCCCUGUCUGCAGCCCUCCUCCUCCCUCCAGCCCCUUGCAAUGCUGAUCAGGGACCAAGGUCCAGCUGCAGUGUUCUUGUAGUCUCUGGGCCAUGGCCAUUGCCCUGGUGGAACUCAGAGUCUCUACUCCUCACUCGUCCCCCCCAGCCCCCCCAGCAUUCCUAAGGUCUGGCUGUCACCUAGGAGACAGGUCUGUCUGCUGGCCUAAGAAAAGAUGGGGGUGCCAAGAGGGCUAGGCCUCAGCAGUGCCCUGCUGAGGUAAAUCCAGUGGCUACUGGCUGCAGUCUCACCUUAGGGGUCACCCCUACCCAACUCUGCCAACCUCUCAGGUCCACUAGGCCCAGGCAUUGAGCCCUUCCCUCCCCCAACACCAAGGCCGUCUCUCCCUACCCCCCAUGUGGGUCUCCUGCGCUCCUGUCAUGGGGACACUGGGCGGGCACUGGGACUCACCCCAAGCCCCGCCUGCUGCCUCACCCACGCCCUCUGCCUCCCUGGGGCAGAACUGUGCCCAGACUAUGGGGUGGAGCCGAGGCGGCUCCAGCUCCUGCAGCCCUUUCUGUCCCUUUCAUUGGAGCCAGUAGGCUGCAGUGAAGCGGGUGUCCUCUUACGUUGAGCUCCCAAGCCUGGACCCUGCUGCCCCCACCACCACCUCUGGGCCUGCCACCUCCUGAGCCACCUUCCUGCCUGAUCUGAGCAGAGUCAUGGCCUUGAGAGUAGGUGACCAGAGCCGGGCUGCACGGAAUGGGCUGAGGGAGAAGGUGCUGACACUGGACUCCAUGAACCCGUGUGUGCGCAAGGUGGAGUACGCCGUGCGUGGCCCCAUAGUGCUGCGGGCCUUGGAGCUGGAGCAGGAGCUGCGCCAGGUACGGUCCCGAGGCCCUGCUACCCUCCUGCUGUUCCUGGGCUACUAGAUCAGCCUCUGGCCCAGUGGCACUUGGGACUAGGGCUGUGGGGGUAAUGGUGCCCAAUCUGGCUGCCUUCUCCCUUUCCCUCCCAGGGUGUGAAGAAACCCUUCACCGAGGUCAUCCGUGCCAACAUUGGAGAUGCACAGGCCAUGGGGCAGAGGCCCAUCACUUUCUUCCGCCAGGUGAGGCUCCUGUACUGCCUGUGUCCCCUGGCUCCAGCCAUCAGUGUGCCCUGACCUCAUCAUUCCGUCCGCCCAGGUCUUGGCCCUCUGUGUCCACCCAGAUCUCUUGCACAGCCCUGACUUCCCUGAGGAUGCCAAACGAAGGGCUCAGCGCAUCUUGCAGGCAUGCGGGGGCCACAGCCUGGGUGAGUGCUGGUGCCAGGCGGGGACCAAGCCCCAGGAAGAAGCAGAGAAGGGUGGAUCUCUUGGGAGGGUUGCGGGAGGACUAGCCACUUUCAUGGGUCUGCUCUGCUCUGCUUGCCGGAGUCCAGGGGCCUAUAGCAUCAGCUCUGGCAUCCAGCUGAUCCGUGAGGAUGUUGCACGGUACAUCGAGAGGCGAGAUGGAGGCAUCCCUGCUGACCCCAACAACAUCUUCCUGUCCACGGGUGCCAGUGAUGCCAUCGUGGUAGGCUGGGCCACGGCAGGACACAAUGGCUCUUCAACUGUGGUUCCACAGGGCAGGGGACGGGUGCAGCCCCUUGGCCCUGCCAACACUGCGCUCCUCCCCCUGCCCACAGACGGUGCUGAAGCUGCUGGUGGCUGGUGAGGGCCGCCGGCGUACAGGCGUGCUCAUCCCUGUCCCGCAGUACCCGCUCUACUCGGCCACUCUGGCCGAACUGGACGCUGUGCAGGUGGACUACUACCUGGAUGAGGAGCGCACUUGGGCACUCGAUGUGGCUGAGCUGCGGCGCAGGCUGUCUCAAGCACGUGACCACUGCUGCCCACGCGCGCUCUGCGUGAUCAACCCCGGCAACCCCACCGGUGCGCCACCUCCCUGCCCCACCUACCCUGACCCCUCCAGCUGCUACAUGCUCCUAGGCCUACCACAAUGGGUCAGUCAACCCCCACUGUCCAGAUGAGCAGGGGUGGGGUGGUGGGUGCCCGCAGUUGACCCUGGCCGCGCUGCUGUCCCCAGGGCAGGUGCAGACCCGGGAGUGCAUCGAGGCUGUGAUCCGCUUCGCAUUCGAAGAGGGACUCUUUCUGAUGGCUGAUGAGGUGCUUACAGGGAUGCGCAAGGGAGGGUGGCUGCGGGUCAGCGGCCGGCCGCGUGACGACAGCGCCCCUGCAGGUGUACCAGGACAACGUGUACGCAGAGGGCUCGCGCUUCUACUCCUUCAAGAAGGUGCUCACCGAGAUGGGCCCACCGUACUCCACGCAGCAGGAGCUUGCCUCCUUCCACUCAGCCUCCAAGGGCUACAUGGGCGAGUGCGUGUGGGCCGGUGGCGGGGGGGGGUUCUUGGACUCCAGCCACUUUCCUGCCCCCUUCUUCCCGGCUGGGCCUCGACCUUGACGCCUGCCCUACCUGGCAGGUGCGGGUUCCGCGGUGGCUACGUGGAGGUGGUGAACAUGGACCCCGAAGUGCAGCGGCAGAUGCUGAAGCUGAUGAGUGUGCGGCUGUGCCCGCCUGUGCCGGGCCAGGCCCUGCUGGACAUGGUGGUCAGCCCGCCAGCACCCUCUGACCCCUCCUUUGCGCAGUUCCAGGAGGUGAGGGAAAUGAGGCCAAGGGCAUCUGGCGAGCCAGUUGGGAAAAGGAUUGAGGGCUAUUGUGUCCCUGCCAUGCCCUGAUUGUCCCCUCCGUGGCUGCAGGAGAGGCAAAUGGUGCUAGCUGAGCUGGCGGCCAAGGCCAAGCUCACGGAGCAGGUCUUCAAUGAAACUCCUGGCAUCAGAUGCAACCCAGUGCAGGGUGCCAUGUACUCCUUCCCUCGAGUGCAGCUGCCCCCCCGGGCGGUCCAGCUUGCUCAGGUCUGGUGGGGCAGGGCAGGGUGGGGCGGAGGCCUGGGCAUAGAGCUCUGACCGCCCUCCACACCGCAGGAGCUCGGCCUGGCCCCAGACAUGUUCUUCUGCCAGCGCCUCCUGGAGGAGACCGGAAUCUGCGUGGUGCCUGGGAGCGGCUUUGGGCAACUGGAGGGCACCUAUCACUUCCGGUGAGACCAGGCCCGCACAGCCUGCCAGUGCCUGCUGUGCCCCCUUUGGCUUAUAGCUUGCCCUUUCCAGGAUGACCAUCCUGCCCCCCAUGGAGAAGCUUCGACUGCUGCUGGAGAAGCUGAGCCGUUUUCAUGCCAAGUUCACCCGGGAGUACUCCUGAGGCCACCACAGGGACCAGGCUGGGCUGCCUGGACUGACUUUGCCCAGGGACCUGGUGGUCUCUGGACCCCUCAGAACUUGCUGCUGCCCCUUGGGGGCUGGGCAUCUCUCUCUGCCAGUUCCUAAUAAAGCUGAGUGUGGUUAUGACUCUGGAGGGGUGAGCCCCACUUCCAUGGGUGAUGACUCC
rnacentral:lncRNA from 1 species